CUCGAUGACCAACAGAUGGCAAAACUUCAAUCUAAGUCAGCACUUGAGAGCUCACUUUCAGAGCUAGGCAUUCCUGUCGAGACCUCACAGAAUAAAGAGUCAUCUUCUACACAACCAGAAGGGAAAGGUAGUAAGAAGGGUAAAUCAUCCAAAAAACAAAGGAGAAAAAGUAGCAACAAAUCCAAGCAAAGCCAAGGCCACGUGAAAAGAACCGUGUUUGAGCUCCUCAUGUUUUCAUUUUUUUACUGCAGUAACAAAACACAAAGCAAUUGGCAAGUCAGUUGAAAAUCCAGAAAAUUCCCAAAUUGGAAUAGAAACAAAAUUCAAAGAAAAGUAUGAGUCCAUAUUACCGUUUUUCGAACCUAGCAUCAAAGAGGUCAAUCCAAUUUCUGAACAUCCAAAGUGCUUUGCAGAGUUACUCUUCUGGAAUACCAAAGACACCAAUUGAAACCCUAAUUUGUAAAGCAUAAAUAGAGAACGAAUCAGUAAGGGGGAGGAAUUAACAACAAAAAACACUGGAGGCGGACCAAACCCACAAAAGAAACCUAAAUCCCAAAUCAAAAACCAGUAUUGAAAAAAACUGGGAGGCAGAAAACACAAGAGAACCCUAAUCCCCAAAUAAGGAAUCGAUUGGAAGGAGUGAAGGAGGGAGAUUCGUUACCUGAGUUGUCGUCGCCGUCGAAGGUCCGAAGGUGAGCUCUUUGUUUCUGUUUCAGCCGUGAUUUUUUCGUGUGUGAGAGAUUCGUUGAGGUUGAUGAGCGAUUUUGAGAGAGAGAGGGUUGGACGCGAGAGAGACGAUUGAGUGAGGUUGAGGACGAUUGAGUGAGGUUGAGAGCGAUUGAGAUUGAGAGGGACGCGAUUGAGAAUUUUCUGCUGAGAGCGAUGGCGAGAUAGAGAGAGGAGGACGAUUGGGAUUCUGGACUUUCCUUCGUGUCCUCACCG
rnacentral:lncRNA from 1 species